UACGUAGGGUGCAAGCGUUAAUCGGAAUUACUGGGCGUAAAGAGCUUGUAGGCGGUUUGUCGCGUCUGCUGUGAAAUUUCGGGGCUCAACCCCGAACUUGCAGUGGGUACGGGCAGACUAGAGUGUGGUAGGGGAGACUGGAAUUCCUGGUGUAGCGGUGAAAUGCGCAGAUAUCAGGAGGAACACCGAUGGCGAAGGCAGGUCUCUGGGCCACUACUGACGCUGAGAAGCGAAAGCAUGGGGAGCGAACAGG
rnacentral:rRNA from 1 species